rnacentral:tRNA from 1 species
AGCAGCUUGGCGCAGUGGAAGCGCGGUAUGUCGAUUCGAAACCCUCUCGUCUAAAAUACACACUAACGAUUUCCAUAGCCGGGCUCAUAACCCGGAGGUCAUCAGAUCGAAACUGAUAGCUGCUA